GUUAGGCAUGGUGGCGUGCACCAUGUAGUCCCAGCUAUUCAGGAGGCUGAGGAGGAGGAUCACCUGAGCCCAGGAGUUCUGGGCUGCAGUGUGCUAUACCGAUCAGGUGUCCUCACUAAAUUUAGCACCAAUAAGGUGUUCCCCCCAGGGAGCUGGGGACCACCAGGUUACCUAAGAAUGGGUGAACCGCCUAGGUCAGAAAUGGAGCAGGUCAAAAUUCCCAUGCUGAUGGGUAGUGGAAUCAUGCCUGUGAAUAGCCACUGCCCUCCAGCCUGGGCAACAUAGUGAGACCCCGUCUCA
rnacentral:SRP_RNA from 1 species